rnacentral:rRNA from 1 species
CAGGUGGAGCCUGCGGUUUAAUCGGACUCAACGCCGGGAAACUCACCAGAUAAGACAGCUGAAUGAUAGUCGGGCUGAAGACUCUACUUGACUAGCUGAGAGGAGGUGCAUGGCCGUCGUCAGUUCGUACUGUGAAGCAUCCUGUUAAGUCAGGCAACGAGCGAGACCCACGCCAACAGUUGCCAACUCGUCCUCCGGGAUGGUGGGGACACUGUUGGGACCGCCUCUGCUAAAGAGGAGGAAGGAAUGGGCAACGGUAGGUCAGCAUGCCCCGAAUUAUCUGGGCUACACGCGGGCUACAAUGGGUGGGACAAUGGGUAUCGACACCGAAAGGUGAAGGCAAUCUCCUAAACCCAUCCGUAGUUCGGAUUGUGGGCUGCAACUCGCCCACAUGAAGCUGGAAUCUGUAGUAAUCGUGUCUCAAAAUGGCACGGUGAAUAUGUCCCUGCUCCUU